rnacentral:rRNA from 1 species
UGAGAGGAUGAUCAGACACACUGGAACUGAGACACGGUCCAGACUCCUACGGGAGGCAGCAGUGAGGAAUAUUGCACAAUGGAGGAAACUCUGAUGCAGCAACGCCGCGUGGAGGAUGACGCAUUUCGGUGUGUAAACUCCUUUUAUUAGGGAAGAUAAUGACGGUACCUAAUGAAUAAGCACCGGCUAACUCCGUGCCAGCAGCCGCGGUAAUACGGAGGGUGCAAGCGUUACUCGGAAUCACUGGGCGUAAAGGGUGCGUAGGCUGGCUUCUAAGUCAGAUGUGAAAUCCAAUGGCUUAACCAUUGAACUGCAUUUGAAACUGGGAGCCUAGAGUUCAGAAGGGGCAGAUGGAAUUAGUGGUGUAGGGGUAAAAUCCGUAGAUAUCACUAGGAAUAUCAAAAGCGAAGGCGAUCUGCUGGGAUGAUACUGACGCUGAGGCACGAAAGCGUGGGGAGCAAACAGAAUUAGAUACCCUGGUAGUCCACGCCCUAAACGAUGAAUGCUAGUCGUCGGGGAGCUCGUCUCUUCGGUGAUGCACUUAACAGAUUAAGCAUUCCGCCUGGGGAGUACGGUCGCAAGAUUAAAACUCAAAGGAAUAGACGGGGACCCGCACAAGUGGUGGAGCAUGUGGUUUAAUUCGAAGAUACACGAAGAACCUUACCUGGUCUUGACAUGGUAGGAACCCUUAAGAGAUUAGGGGGUGCUAGCUUGCUAGAACCUACACACAGGUGCUGCACGGCUGUCGUCAGCUCGUGUCGUGAGAUGUUGGGUUAAGUCCCGCAACGAGCGCAACCCUCGUCAUUAGUUGCUAACAGUUCGGCUGAGCACUCUAAUGAGACUGCCUCCGUAAGGAGGAGGAAGGUGAGGACGACGUCAAGUCAUCAUGGCCCUUACGGCCAGGGCUACACACGUGCUACAAUGGGGCGUACAGAGAGCUGCAAUACCGCGAGGUGGAGCCAAUCUCUUAAAGCGUCUCUCAGUUCGGAUUGUUCUCUGCAACUCGAGAACAUGAAGCUGGAAUCACUAGUAAUCGCAGAUCAGCUAUGCUGCGGUGAAUACGUUCCCGGGUCUUGUACUCACCGCCCGUCACACCAUGGGAGUUGAUUUCACCCGAAAUCGGGAUGCCAAACUGGCUACCGCUUACGGUGGAAUUAGCGACUGGGGUGAAGUCGUAACA